UAACAAGGAUUCCCCUAGUAACUGCGAGUGAAGCGGGAAAAGCUCAAAUUUAAAAUCUGGUGGUCUUUGGCCAUCCGAGUUGUAGUCUGGAGAAGUGCUUUCCGCGUUGGACCGUGUACAAGUCUCUUGGAACAGAGCGUCAUAGAGGGUGAGAAUCCCGUCUUUGACACGGACUACCAAUGCUUUGUGAUGCGCUCUCAAAGAGUCGAGUUGUUUGGGAAUGCAGCUCAAAAUGGGUGGUAAAUUCCAUCUAAAGCUAAAUAUUGGCGAGAGACCGAUAGCGAACAAGUACCGUGAGGGAAAGAUGAAAAGCACUUUGGAAAGAGAGUUAAACAGUACGUGAAAUUGCUGAAAGGGAAACGCUUGAAGUCAGUCGCGUUGGCCGGAACUCAGCCUUGCUUUUGCUAGGUGCACUUUCUGGUUGACGGGCCAGCAUCAAUUUUGAUUGUUGGAUAAAGGUUGGGGGAAUGUGGCACCUUCGGGUGUGUUAUAGCCCUCAGUCACAUACAACAGUUGGGAUUGAGGAUCUCAGCACGCCUUUAUGGCCGGGGUUCGCCCACGUUCGUGCUUAGGAUGCUGGCAUAAUGGCUUUAAACGACCCGUCUUGAAACACGGACCAAGGAGUCUAACAUGCCUGCGAGUGUUUGGGUGGAAAACCCGAGCGCGUAAUGAAAGUGAAAGUUGGGAUCUCUGUCAUGGAGAGCACCGACGCCCGGACCUGACCUUCUGUGACGGCUCCGCGGUAGAGCAUGUAUGUUGGGACCCGAAAGAUGGUGAACUAUGCCUGAAUAGGGUGAAGCCAGAGGAAACUCUGGUGGAGGCUCGUAGCGAUUCUGACGUGCAAAUCGAUCGUCAAAUUUGGGUAUAGGGGCGAAAGACUAAU
rnacentral:rRNA from 1 species